AAAAAGGGCUUCUGCCGUGAGUGACACACAUGACAGCAUGCUUGCUCUGGUGCAGAAUUGACAACAAGAGAUUUCAGAAGCAUAAAUUAUUUUGACAGUAGAGCAGCUGGUGAUCAUUGGUCCUGGAACUCCA